CUUAAUAGAAAUGAACUCUAAUUUUCUUGAGAAAUUCUCUCACAUCUUGAUGACAUCUACCAAGUCAGUCUCUCCACUCAGGCUCUCGCCAGUGCUUUUGGAAUGUGAGAAGCACACAGAUCACCAUAGUAUCUGACUCUCUCUGAGUUAUGGGAGAAUGUUGUCUCUUCAGAUCCACACUUGAGGAGUCUUGAAAUUGGGCUUGCAGGUGUAAGAAACUUUCACAGUAGUGACUUUUAGAAGGUCUGACCUUGGAUGGAGUGUUUUCAAAAAGGAUAUAAAGAAGGAUGUUCCUCAGCUCCUUUCCACUGCUGUCUUCCAACCAACGAUAUUCUGAAGAAAACAGAAGGGUCAGUGUGAAUCUGCAGAGGCAAUAGAUUUGAACAAACAGUAAGGAAAAAACACAAAAUCAGCUUUAAGAAUCUAAAAAUCAAUGAGGUUUUGGAGGAAGAUAUCCUGGUACAAGUACAACUACACAGUCACCAGUGAAUUUUAAUACUGGAAUUCUGAGGACUGAUAUUGUGGACCAGAUUCUCGUCUUGCCUACAGCAGGUUUCACUGGUGGAUGUAAUUUCAUUAUUUCAAGGGCAUUACACUGAUUAAAUCAAGACUAAGUGCAAGGAGGAUUGGGCCCUUCACAUUUAAUAAAGAACAUUUUAUAUUAAACGUGUUUCUCUUCUAUAUGAAACUCUUCCAUAAGAAGGAAGCAGAAGAAACAAUAUUAGAAAUGUCAAAUCUCAUCGUCCUGGGUAUAGCUGGAGGAACUCCUGCAGAUCCUAGUGUGUGGUAAGAGUGGUAAUCGAAUUCGUGAAAGUGCUAGAAGUGCUAUGACAUUGUCAUUAGUGAAGAUAACAUAACAGAGAAGCAGUAUAAUGGAGAAGAUGGAAUGUUUGCUGGCUGACUGGAUUGAUGACCUCCAUAAAAAAAAAACACCUGUGGGUUUAAGCUUGAUUCAGGAGAAGGCCAAAAGCUUAUAUAAUGAUUUAAAGGCAAGAUAGGGAGAGCUCAACAGCAGAAAAGGAGACCUUCAAUGCUAGUCAUGGGUGGUUCCACAGAUUUCAGAAGCGUGCCAGUCUACAUAAUAUAAAACUCACAGGAGAAGUGGCUCGUGUGAAUGAAGAAGCAGCUGAAACGUUUCCUACGCAGCUAAACACAAUUGUUUUGGAAGGUGGCUACUCUCCCGAAUAAGUUUAACAUCGAUGAGAUGGGCCUUUACUGGAAGAAGAUGCCAGUGAAGACUUAUAUUUCUCAUGAUGAGAAGACUGCUCUUCAAAGCCUCAAAAGACCACUUAACCCUUCUACUUGGGGGAAAUGCAGAAGGCGAUUGCAAGUUGAAGCCCUUUUUUGUUUACCACAGUGAAAACCCAAGAGCAAUGAGAUGCAAUAUCAAGUCUUGUCUCCUUGUAAUUCGAAAGUUGAACAGAAAGGCCUGGAUAACAUGCAGUGUUUUCCAUAAGUGGUUUGUAGACCAUGCUGUUCCUGAAUUUAAGGCUUACUGUCAGAAGGAAAAUUUGGCCUUUAAGAUUCUCCUUCUGUUGGAUAACGCAAGUGCCCAUGAACUAGACUACAGAGCCCUCUGCCUGAAUAUAAAGGUCCUAUUUUUGCCUUCCAAAACCACAUCAUUGCUGCAGCCUGUGGACCAGGGUAUAAUGGCCACAUUCAAGGCUUGUUACUUACGGAGGACAUUCUUCAUGCUGAUUAAGGAAAUGGCAGGUGAAGGAAAGCCCAAUGUAAAGGAGUUUUGGAAGUCCAACAACAUCUUGAAAGCCAUGGAAAACAUUGACGCAUCGUGGGAAGAGGUCAUUUCGCAAUGUAUGAACUGCAAGUCUCUAGGGCUAUCAAUGAUACAGUGGCUUGCCACAGGGAGAUCUAUCAUUCAAAGAUUCAUGCAGGAGAGCAGAUGUCAAUAAAAUCCUUUUUUAAGACUUCUGCAACCAAAAGCCAGCUACGGAAAAGCCAACCCAAGAAAACCCAGCUGCCACCCCUACCUAAGUUUAGCAUAACUGACACUGUUUUAUAUUAUAUUACUGUUCUGUAUUACUGUAUUAAAAUUUUUUGUGUUUGAACAGUGUUAGUAGGGUUCUAUAUCAUUUUAUUCAAUGUUUUAUCUGUAAAAUGUGUACUGUAUAACUUGUCUUUGUAAAAAGGUACACUGUUUAGGUGAAAAGAGCAUUGUCAUAGGCGAGUGUGAUGAAAUUGUGAAUGCAUCUCCCUCCCCACUUCCAUUAUUUCUUAUGGGGAAAAAUUCCUCAGUAUCAGUUGUUUCGGUAUCCAUUGCCCUUUUCAAAAAUGCAACCCCAGUGUAUAUAGGGGACCCCUUGUACAGCACCCAGCACUCUGAUGGUAUUUAUUAAAUAUUCAGUAUCAUUAAAUCUUUGUCAUAGUGACCAGAAAGGCCCCAAUCAAAUUUAAGCUCAAGCAUCCUGCUGCAACAAACUUACACAAAAGACAUUUGGAUCAAAUUUUGGACUUCUCCCAUCCUGCAGUGAACCUUGGACCUGAGCUUUGAUUCCUAAGAAUGCAGACAGUGCACUUCCAGUGGAACAGGACAUCUUCUUUUCAUGUAGCCUUUGGCAAUAUGUACAGGUAUAAUUAUAGACACAUAAGCUACUCUGUCUGUUCUAGCUGCCAAGAGAGUUGGUGGUGAAGUUUGAA